GAGAGGAGCACCGAGAAAGAGAGAGAGAGAGAGCUGCUGGACAAUAAAAAAAAAAAGGGAAGGGGAAAUUGAAGAACUCAAGUAGAAUAACAAAGGAAGGAAAGGAAACUUGAGAAUUUCGGCCAAUUAAAGCUUAAGGUCGGACGCAGCACUGUUAGUGCAUUAUAGCACGUUUUUCGAGGAGCCCACUGCCACCGACUUUCAUUGAUGCUUCCAAGUUGGCUCAGAGGCCUUGCAUUUUCCAACACAGGAGCCAUACUUCAGUCUCGAGUGUAACUCAAAAAGAAAUUGAAGUGAUACCUGAAUUAUUAUAUUAAAAAAAAGAAAUUAAAGAAGUGACAUUGGAACACCAAAGAUAAGUCCUAUGAAACAACCUAUGGAUUCCGAUCAGCAUCAGUAGUUAAUGGUCUCUUUUGCGUGUCAAAAAAAUAACGUGCUGUUGUACCAAAAAAUAAAAAAUGAAGUCUUGUCUUUUUUGCUUAUUCUUCCCUGUUUUGUCUUCCUAAUAUGUAGCCAAUGGCGUUUAAUGAAAGUGAUACUAGUAGCAGUGUUGUACCAAGUACUAAUAUACUAGUAUAAUGGAAUGCUGAUUUACUCUA